AUAUAGUGGUAUCUUGUAACUCAACGUCCCCUGCACAAAAGCAGUUUUGCUGCUUCUUAUGUGAAUGCGCCCUUACUGAACUCCCUAAGGAAUACGGUAUUUCAAGAUCAAGCAUCUCCACAAUUAAGAAGCAUAGGCAAACAAUAAAGAAGUAAAGUGUCAAAAACAACCCCAUUAUUUUACACUCUGACGCCACUCCCAGAACCAAUUGACAUCAAGUUUAAAGGUACCACAGUAUUAACUAAAUGGUGAUAACAUGUUUUGAAAAACCACAAAGCACCAUAGAUCUGCUAAAACAAUCUAUGGAACCUAAGAUGCCUAAUCCAAUAUAUGAUUAUAUGAUGUAUUAAAUAUAAAAUUUAACAAUGAAUAAAACACACAAUAAAUGAAUGAAUAAUGUAA